GAUGAACGCUAGCUACAGGCUUAACACAUGCAAGUCGAGGGGCAGCAUUUCAGUUUGCUUGCAAACUGGAGAUGGCGACCGGCGCACGGGUGAGUAACACGUAUCCAACCUGCCGAUAACUCGGGGAUAGCCUUUCGAAAGAAAGAUUAAUACCCGAUGGUAUAAUCAGACCGCAUGGUCUUGUUAUUAAAGAAUUUCGGUUAUCGACGGGGAUGCGUUCCAUUAGGCAGUUGGUGAGGUAACGGCUCACCAAACCUUCGAUGGAUAGGGGUUCUGAGAGGAAGGUCCCCCACAUUGGAACUGAGACACGGUCCAAACUCCUACGGGAGGCAGCAGUGAGGAAUAUUGGUCAAUGGGCGCAGGCCUGAACCAGCCAAGUAGCGUGAAGGAUGACUGCCCUAUGGGUUGUAAACUUCUUUUAUAUGGGAAUAAAGUUUUCCACGUGUGGAAUUUUGUAUGUACCAUAUGAAUAAGGAUCGGCUAACUCCGUGCCAGCAGCCGCGGUAAUACGGAGGAUCCGAGCGUUAUCCGGAUUUAUUGGGUUUAAAGGGAGCGUAGGUGGACAGUUAAGUCAGUUGUGAAAGUUUGCGGCUCAACCGUAAAAUUGCAGUUGAUACUGGCUGUCUUGAGUACAGUAGAGGUGGGCGGAAUUCGUGGUGUAGCGGUGAAAUGCUUAGAUAUCACGAAGAACUCCGAUUGCGAAGGCAGCUCACUGGACUGCAACUGACACUGAUGCUCGAAAGUGUGGGUAUCAAACAGGAUUAGAUACCCUGGUAGUCCACACAGUAAACGAUGAAUACUCGCUGUUUGCGAUAUACAGUAAGCGGCCAAGCGAAAGCAUUAAGUAUUCCACCUGGGGAGUACGCCGGCAGCGGUGAAACUCAAAGGAAUUGACGGGGGCCCGCACAAGCGGAGGAACAUGUGGUUUAAUUCGAUGAUACGCGAGGAACCUUACCCGGGCUUAAAUUGCAUUUGAAUAUAUUGGAAACAGUAUAGCCGUAAGGCAAAUGUGAAGGUGCUGCAUGGUUGUCGUCAGCUCGUGCCGUGAGGUGUCGGCUUAAGUGCCAUAACGAGCGCAACCCUUAUCUUUAGUUACUAACAGGUCAUGCUGAGGACUCUAGAGAGACUGCCGUCGUAAGAUGUGAGGAAGGUGGGGAUGACGUCAAAUCAGCACGGCCCUUACGUCCGGGGCUACACACGUGUUACAAUGGGGGGUACAGAAGGCAGCUACCUGGUGACAGGAUGCUAAUCCCAAAAGCCUCUCUCAGUUCGGAUCGAAGUCUGCAACCCGACUUCGUGAAGCUGGAUUCGCUAGUAAUCGCGCAUCAGCCAUGGCGCGGUGAAUACGUUCCCGGGCCU
rnacentral:rRNA from 1 species